CAGGGCGCGCCCUCGCGCUGUUGCCACCGCAGUCUGCGACGGGAUUCGGCGUGUCCAUGUGUCAGGUGGGCGAGGACUACGGGGAGCCGGCGCCUGGGGAGCCCUCCCCGGCGCCACGGCCUAGCCGUGAGCAGAAGUGUGUGAAGUGCAAGGAAGCCCAACCCGUUGUGGUGAUACGAGCCGGAGAUGCCUUCUGCAGGGACUGUUUCAAGGCCUUCUACGUCCACAAGUUCAGAGCCAUGCUGGGCAAGAACCGGCUCAUCUUUCCAGGCGAGAAGGUCCUCUUGGCGUGGUCUGGGGGACCUUCGUCCAGUUCCAUGGUCUGGCAGGUCCUUGAGGGCCUGAGCCAAGAUUCUGCCAAAAGACUGCGCUUUGUGCCUGGGGUCAUCUUUGUUGACGAGGGAGCAGCCUUUGGCAAGAGUCUAGAGGAGAGAUCAAAGACCCUGGCCGAAGUGAAACCCAUUCUGCAAGCAACUGGGUUACCAUGGCAUGUGGUGGCCUUAGAGGAGGUGUUCAGCCUGCCCCCGUCGGUGCUUCGGUGCUCUGCCCAGGAGCCGGCGGGAUCCGAGGGGGCCUACAAGGCGGCUGUGGACAGCUUCCUCCAGCAGCAGCAUGUACUGGGGGCCGGGGGUGGUCCUGGCCCGACUCAAGGGAAGGAACAGCCACCCCAGCCCCGACCGGACCCCCAGAGCCUGGCAGGACCUCCUGCCGCUGCCCAGACCGGGGCUCUUUCCCAGCUGUUCUGCUCGGUGAGGACACUGACGGCCAAGGAGGAGCUUCUGCAGACACUGCGGACCCACCUGAUCCUGCACAUGGCCCGAGCCCACGGCUACUCUAAGGUCAUGACUGGGGACAGCUGCACACGCUUGGCCAUCAAGCUCAUGACCAACCUGGCGCUGGGUCGAGGGGCCUUCCUGGCCUGGGACACGGGCUUCUCGGAUGAGCGGCACGGGGACGUGGUGGUGGUGCGGCCCAUGCGAGACCACACCCUGAAGGAGGUCGCUUUCUACAAUCGCCUGUUCUCCGUCCCUUCUGUUUUCACACCAGCCGUCGACACCAAGGCCCCUGAAAAGGCCAGCAUCCACCGGCUGAUGGAGGCCUUCAUCCUCAGGCUGCAGACCCAGUUCCCCUCCACUGUCAGCACUGUGUACAGGACAAGUGAGAAGCUCGUGAAGGCUCCCAGGGACGGCCCUGCUGCCGGCGACUCCAGCCCCUGCUGCCUCCUCUGCAUGUGUGCCCUGGAUGUCGAUGCCGCUGCCUCUUUCUACUUGCAGAUAGUGCCACGGCUUUUGGGGCUCAGACCUCCUCACGUCUCUCCCAGAUGCAGUCAUCCACCCCCCUGACUGAGACGCAGACACCCUCAGGGCCCUGCUGUUCUUCAGGGGUGGGCCGGGUCCUGGGCUGUGGCCAGGGGGCCUGCAGGAGGGAGGACCCCCAAGCCUGCAUCGAGGAGCAGCUGUGCUACAGCUGCCGCGUGAACAUGAAGGAUUUGCCCUCCCUGGACCCCCUGCCACCGUACAUCCUGGCCGAGGCCCAGCUCCGCACACAGAGGGCCUGGGUCUUGCAGGAGAUCCGGGACUGUCUGAUUGAGGACAGUGACGAUGAGGCAGGCCAGAGCUGAGCCUGAGGAGGUGCUUGACGAGACAGCAGGCGGUGGCCGCCUGGUGCAGGGCCCACCACACUGGAGCUGGAAGGCAAGGACGGGGGAGUGGCCUCUGAUUGUCCAUUUGUAUAAAUAAAACGUUUUUAAUUAAAAAA